rnacentral:miRNA from 1 species
AGAGGUGCUCAUGGGCUGGGUCGG